UGCGCAACUCGAGUAGCCUACUAUAAAAAGAUGUCCAGGAAGCGGCCAAAUUAACAUUUGAACUCAAAAUGACUGCAGCUCCGACCACACAGGACAGACUGGAACGCGCCCAUUCUCAGAUUUGCGCAGUCGCAAUGAUGAAAGCAUUCGAGAAACACCGCCAUUAUUGCGUAGCUAGUCUGACUAUUGCAUUGUGUUAGCGACCUAAACAAAAAUUACCUGCAAUAAUGAGGGCAAUUGUGAAAUUUUGUGGGAGUAAGCCCAUAUAGUGCGCGCCGUUUGCAUAAGGUGCCGUUGACCAGCUCAAGAUGUCCGCAGAGAUGCUCAGCAUUCCUCUUGGCACGAGCAAGCUCAAUGUGUUGGUGACCAAACUGCAUGGGUUCUUGGCUCAUGCUCCCGAGGAAGAUGACAACACACUGGUGACUGAAAGUCCUGAGGGUGAGAACUGUAAUAAGUGCACCUUUAACUCAGUAGGUAUAGCGGUGUUGUCUGGCCAUUAUUGUCUGCUGAUUUUAAUUCACAGGUAUAAUGACCAAGGACUGUGUGGAGCCGCACUCAACAGACCGAACCUCCCUUGAGACCUCAACAGACGCCUUGAAGCAGUCCAGAUGUGGUUCCAGGAGGUGGGCUUUCUUCUGAUAUUUUGAAAUAUGUGAUAGUUUAUGUACAUGUUGUUUAUGGACAGGAAACGC
rnacentral:lncRNA from 1 species